AAAAUCAUAUUAAGGAACUCAGAAUGCAGAGUCAGUCUUGCAGACACCAAGUGACCUUGUGCAAGGCACCUUGCAGACUGCCUUGCCUACUUGACUCCCCUAAUGAAUGGUGACUGCCUCGGUACCUGAGUGGCAGGCAGAAUGCCAAAUCCGCAGAUUGCUGGGACAGUGAAGGAGAAGAACAGUUCUUAGGGCUUGUUGGUGUGAAAGCACAUGAUACCCUUUACCCACAGCCUUAAGGUCAUGUUGUUCCCCCAACUGGGUCAGUCAGCCAACCUGAUGUAAUGUGACUCUGAAAAUAAGGUGCUUAUCCCUUUUGACAGUGUGAACAGAGAGAGGC